rnacentral:rRNA from 1 species
GAUGAACGCUGGCGGCGUGCCUAAUACAUGCAAGUCGAGCGAACAGACGAGAGUGCUUGCCCACUCUGACGUUAGCGGCGGACGGGUGAGUAACACGUGGGUAACCUACCUAUAAGACUGGGAUAACUUCGGGAAACCGGAGCUAAUACCGGAUGAUAUUUAGCUUCGCAUGAAGCAAUAGUGAAAGACGGUUCUGCUGUCACUUAUAGAUGGACCCGCGGUGUAUUAGCUAGUUGGUGAGGUAACGGCUCACCAAGGCAACGAUACAUAGCCGACCUGAGAGGGUGAUCGGCCACACUGGGACUGAGACACGGCCCAGACUCCUACGGGAGGCAGCAGUAGGGAAUCUUCCGCAAUGGACGAAAGUCUGACGGAGCAAUGCCGCGUGAGUGAAGAAGGUUUUCGGAUCGUAAAACUCUGUUGUAAGGGAAGAACAAGUACGUUAGUAACUGAACGUACCUUGACGGUACCUUACCAGAAAGCCACGGCUAACUACGUG